rnacentral:tRNA from 1 species
GUCCAGGGAUGGGAAUCGAACCCACAGUGUUCCGCUUACCUGGACAGAUGCCAUGUCCGCUAGGCUACCCUGGA